rnacentral:rRNA from 1 species
AGAGUUUGAUCAUGGCUCAGAAUGAACGUUGGCGGCGUGGAUUAGGCAUGCAAGUCGAGCGAGAAGGGUUUUGUUGCUUGCAAUUGAACCCGGAAAGCGGCGUAAGGGAGAGUAACGCGUAGUUACGUACCCCGGGGUCCGGAAUAGCUGCGGGAAACUGCAGGUAAUGCCGGAUAAUAUCCCCGGAUCAAAGGUGUGAUUCCGCCCUGGGAGCGGACUGCGUUGUACUAGCUUGUUGGUGGGGUAAUGGCCUACCAAGGCGAUGAUGCAUACCGGGCGUGAGAGCGUGGCCCGGCUCACUGGGACUGAGACACUGCCCAGACACCUACGGGUGGCUGCAGUCGAGAAUCUUCGGCAAUGCGCGCAAGCGUGACCGAGCGACGCCGCGUGCGGGAUGAAGGCCCUCGGGUUGUAAACCGUAAAAGUUGGGAGGAAGUCCAUAGGGGUUCUCCCCUAUGGUUGACCUAUCUUCAGUAAGGACGGGCUAAGUUCGUGCCAGCAGCCGCGGUAAUACGAACCGUCCAAACGUUAUUCGGAAUUAUUGGGCUUAAAGGGUACGUAGGCUGCGCUAUAAGUCGGGUGUGAAAUCCCUCGGCUCAACCGAGGAAUUGCGCCCGAUACUGUAGUGCUUGAGGGAGACAGGGGUAAGCGGAACUGAUGGUGGAGCGGUGAAAUGCGUUGAUAUCAUCAGGAACACCAGUGGCGAAAGCGGCUUACUGGGUCUCUUCUGACGCUGAGGUACGAAAGCUAGGGUAGCGAACGGGAUUAGAUACCCCAGUAGUCC